rnacentral:rRNA from 1 species
CACGUAGGAGGCGAGCGUUGUCCGGAAUCAUUGGGCGUAAAGAGCGCGUAGGCGGUCCAGCAAGUCGGGUGUGAAAGCCCUCGGCUCAACCGAGGAAGUGCAUUCGAAACUACGGGACUUGAAUACUGAAGAGGAUCGCGGAAUUCCCGGUGUAGAGGUGAAAUUCGUAGAUAUCGGGAGGAACACCAGUGGCGAAGGCGGCGAUCUGGGCAGAUAUUGACGCUGAUGUGCGAAAGCGUGGGGAGCAAACAGG